rnacentral:ncRNA from 1 species
UCCACGCACUGCGGGUGCUUGCUUCGUCAGGCUGAGAAAACACCGCCGAACUCGACCAAGAUAAUACUUGCGUGAGAAAGUGCACAUUCUAAUUA